CUGGGCAAAUGCUGCAUUUUAUGUAGAGGAAAGUCCACGCUUACACUGUCUGUGAUGAUAGUAGUGUUUGUGCUUAGGGAAAAAAUAACCUAAGGCAAGUUUAACUUGACGGCAUCAUCUUAUCUAAGGAAAACUAUGAGAAAGAUGAUAUAAAGUGCCACAGAGACGAGUUUAUUUAGAAAUAAAUAAAAUGAAACGAGGUAAACCCCACAAGUAAGAAACUCAAAUUUUGGUAGAGGAACUAUUCUUAAGGAAUAAGAACUGAGGAAUGGAUGAAUUUCAUAGAUAAAUAUUUGCCACCCUUUUGGGUACAGAACGUGGCUUAUAA
rnacentral:RNase_P_RNA from 1 species